ACCAAAUUUAGAGGGACAAAUUUCAAUAAUAAUAAUAAAGUGGAUUUUUGUAUUAUUUCUUCCCUGUCUGCAGAACUUUUUUCACUGCCUGCAUGAUCACAGGGAUAGUGGGAAAAAUAAACGGGGAAUCAUUCUCUCAGAAUAUAGGAAUUCCGACUCUAAAAUCUUCCAUUAGUUUCCUUUUGGACCUUCAAGUUACAAUCUUUUCGUAUUUUUCAUUUAGUAGCAUUCUUUGUUCCGUUGCUCUUCAAUUUCUUUAACUCUGUGUUGUUCUAUUUGAUUCUAACUGACUAAACUUUAUGCCAUAAUACGUUCAGUAGAUAAAUUUGUUGCUCUAAUUUUCAUAGCAAGACACCACUUUUUUAUUUUUGUCUUUUGGUGUACUAAGGAGGGUUCUUUGAAUCUGCAUGCCAAGUGCUUGAUUAAAUUCUCCAUAGACCUGUGUUUGGAUUUUCUUAUGCUUGCGGAUUUGCCAUCUACUUCUGCUGCUCGAUUUUCGUUUUCCUUUUUCCUUUCAGGAAUUUUGUUCUUGAAUGAGCAAUUGUUUGGAAAACUGCGAAAUUUAUGUGGAGUUAAGAACUGAGUAGGAGAGGACUAUUGAUCUAUUUAUUAAAUUUGAGCUGCAGAAAUUAAAGAAAGCAAAAGCAGGUUUGAGGAGAAUGUUGCCACAGAAGAUGAAGAAGGCUGUCACGGACAACCCUAAGAAGCUUGCUAAUUUAAUUGAUCUCGUAAAUCUUCCUUCAACACUUCGGGAGUUUGUGGGUCAGUCUCAAAUUUCUCGUUUGGGCUGUUUCAUGCGUGUCUGGUCCUACAUCAAGACCAAUAAUCUCCAGGAUCCUAAUGACAAGAAUGUAGUCAACUGUGAUGAAAAGUUGAAGAGUAUUUUGUUGGGCAAGCCUCAGGUUGAUCUAGCUGAACUUCCGGCACUGAUCAAACUGCAUUUCCCCAAAGAGCCAAAGUAAGUUGCAAUUUGAGAUCAAGACAUAUAUCUCCCUAAGAUUAAAGGGUGAGCUAAUGCACAAAGCAUUUCACACUUGUGAGUCUGGAGAGGGUUGUUCUAUUUGCAUUUUUAAUUGUGACUUUUAAAGAUAAGGUUCCGGUUUCAAAUUAAAGCUUGCUUCGCUUUAAUGAAUCUUUUUUCUCAGUGGAUUUUUAGGUUUUUUAUGUCAAACUGAUUGUUUUAGUGUCUAGUGAUCGCUGGGAUAA
rnacentral:misc_RNA from 1 species